rnacentral:rRNA from 1 species
UACGUAGGGGGCUAGCGUUGUCCGGAUUUAUUGGGCGUAAAGAGCGUGUAGGCGGCCAGGUAGGUCUGGUGUGAAAACUCGAGGCUUAACCUCGAGAUGUCAUCGGAAACCAUCUGGCUAGAGUCCGGAAGAGGAGAGUGGAAUUCCUGGUGUAGCGGUGAAAUGCGCAGAUAUUGGGAGGAACACCAGUGGCGAAGGCGGCUCACUGGACCGGAACUGACGCUGAGGCGCGAAAGCGUGGGGAGCAAACGGG